rnacentral:rRNA from 1 species
GCCAGACUCCUACGGGAGGCAGCAGUGAGGAAUAUUGGUCAAUGGACGAGAGUCUGAACCAGCCAAGUAGCGUGAAGGAUGACUGCCCUAUGGGUUGUAAACUUCUUUUAUAAAGGAAUAAAACGAGGCACGUGUGCCUUUUUGCAUGUACUUUAUGAAUAAGGAUCGGCUAACUCCGUGCCAGCAGCCGCGGUAAUACGGAGGAUCCGAGCGUUAUCCGGAUUUAUUGGGUUUAAAGGGAGCGUAGAUGGGUUGUUAAGUCAGUUGUGAAAGUUUGCGGCUCAACCGUAAAAUUGCAAUUGAUACUGGCAGUCUUGAGUACAGUUGAGGUAGGCGGAAUUCGUGGUGUAGCGGUGAAAUGCAUAGAUAUCACGCAGAACUCCGAUUGCGAAGGCAGCUUACUAAGCCAUAACUGACACUGAAGCACGAAAGCGUGGGGAUCAAACAGGAUUAGAUACCCCCGUA